AGAGUUUGAUCAUGGCUCAGAUUGAACGCUGGCGGCAGGCCUAACACAUGCAAGUCGAGCGGAUGAGGGGUGCUUGCACCCCGAUUCAGCGGCGGACGGGUGAGUAAUGCCUAGGAAUCUGCCCGAUAGUGGGGGACAACGUUUCGAAAGGAACGCUAAUACCGCAUACGUCCUACGGGAGAAAGUGGGGGCUCUUCGGACCUCACGCUAUCGGAUGAGCCUAGGUCGGAUUAGCUAGUUGGUGGGGUAAAGGCCCACCAAGGCGACGAUCCGUAACUGGUCUGAGAGGAUGAUCAGUCACACUGGAACUGAGACACGGUCCAGACUCCUACGGGAGGCAGCAGUGGGGAAUAUUGGACAAUGGGCGAAAGCCUGAUCCAGCCAUGCCGCGUGUGUGAAGAAGGUCUUCGGAUUGUAAAGCACUUUAAGUCGGGAGGAAGGGCUGUAGGUUAAUACCCUGCGGUUUUGACGUUACCGACAGAAUAAGCACCGGCUAACUUCGUGCCAGCAGCCGCGGUAAUACGAAGGGUGCAAGCGUUAAUCGGAAUUACUGGGCGUAAAGCGCGCGUAGGUGGUUUGGUAAGUUGGAUGUGAAAGCCCCGGGCUCAACCUGGGAACUGCAUCCAAAACUGCCUGACUAGAGUACGGUAGAGGGUGGUGGAAUUUCCUGUGUAGCGGUGAAAUGCGUAGAUAUAGGAAGGAACACCAGUGGCGAAGGUGACCACCUGGACUGAUACUGACACUGAGGUGCGAAAGCGUGGGGAGCAAACAGGAUUAGAUACCCUGGUAGUCCACGCCGUAAACGAUGUCGACUAGCCGCUGGGCUCCUUGAGAGCUUAGUGGCGCAGCUAACGCAUUAAGUCGACCGCCUGGGGAGUACGGCCGCAAGGUUAAAACUCAAAGGAAUUGACGG
rnacentral:rRNA from 1 species